rnacentral:rRNA from 1 species
AGCGAACGCUGGCGGCAGGCCUAAUACAUGCAAGUCGAGCGCCCGUAGCAAUACGGGAGCGGCAGACGGGUGAGUAACACGUGGGAACGUACCCUUCGGUUCGGAAUAACCCAGGGAAACUUGGGUUAAUACCGGAUACGCCCUUACGGGGAAAGAUUUAUUGCCGAAGGAUCGGCCCGCGUCCGAUUAGCUAGUUGGUGGGGUAAUGGCCCACCAAGGCGACGAUCGGUAGCUGGUCUGAGAGGAUGAUCAGCCACACUGGGACUGAGACACGGCCCAGACUCCUACGGGAGGCAGCAGUAGGGAAUAUUGGACAAUGGGCGCAAGCCUGAUCCAGCCAUGCCGCGUGGGUGAUGAAGGCCCUAGGGUUGUAAAGCCCUUUCGGCGGGAAGAUAAUGAUGGUACCCGCAGAAGAAGCCCCGGCUAACUUCGUGCCAGCCGCCGCAGUAAU